CAUGGGCUGACGAACCUGAGAUUGACCCUCAUGUUUCACCAUUCUCAGGUUAGACAGUCCUCGA
rnacentral:pre_miRNA from 1 species